rnacentral:rRNA from 1 species
AUUGAACGCUGGCGGCAGGCCUAACACAUGCAAGUCGAACGCGUGGCGGACGGGUGAGUAAUGUCUGGGAAACUGCCCGAUGGAGGGGGAUAACUACUGGAAACGGUAGCUAAUCCCACAUAACAGCGGGUGUGCCCAGAUGGGAUUAGAUAGGAGGUGGGGUAAUGGCUCACAUAGGCGACGAUCCCUAGCUGGUCUGAGAGGAUGACCAGCCACACUGGAACUGAGACACGGUCCAGACUCCGACGGGAGGCAGCAGUGGGGAAUAGUGCACAAUGGGCGCAAGCCUGAUGCAGCCAUGCCGCGUGUAUGAAGAAGGCCUUAGGGUUGUAAAGUACUUUCAGCGGGGAGGCGUUACUCGCAGAAGAAGCAUCGGCUAACUCCGUGCCAGCAGCCGCGGUAAUAC